rnacentral:tRNA from 1 species
GAGGAUAUAGCUCAGUGGUUGAGCAUGUGCUUAGCGUGCACAAGGUCCUGGUUUCAAUCCCCAGUACCUCU